GUGGGGAAUAUUGGGCAAUGGGCGAAAGCCUGACCCAGCAACGCCGCGUGAAGGAAGAAGGCCUUCGGGUUGUAAACUUCUUUUAUGAGGGACGAAGGACGUGACGGUACCUCAUGAAUAAGCCACGGCUAACUACGUGCCAGCAGCCGCGGUAAUACGUAGGUGGCAAGCGUUGUCCGGAUUUACUGGGUGUAAAGGGCGCGUAGGCGGACUGGCAAGUCAGAUGUGAAAUCCAUGGGCUCAACUCAUGAACUGCAUUUGAAACUGUUGGUCUUGAGUGUCGGAGAGGCAAGCGGAAUUCCUAGUGUAGCGGUGAAAUGCGUAGAUAUUAGGGGGAACACCAGUGGCGAAGGCGGCUUGCUGGACGAUAACUGGCGCUGAGGCGCGAAAGCGUGGGGAGCAAACAGGAUUAGAAACCCGUGUAGUCC
rnacentral:rRNA from 1 species